CCUAUGGGGCGCAGCAGGCGCGAAAACUCCGCAAUGCGUGCAAGCGUGACGGGGGGACCCCAAGUGCCGUUUGGUUCUUUUGAUUCGACGGCUUUUCGGAAGUCCAAGAAGCUUCC
rnacentral:rRNA from 1 species